rnacentral:lncRNA from 1 species
UAAAGGUUUGAUGGCAAAGUGUGGGUAGGGUUUAGGAAAUCAGAGUCCUGCAGUACCCUGGGCUGGCAGCCCCCUGGCCUGAAGGUUGGUGAAAACCCUGUGUCCUUGGAGAAAGCUGGUUCCCGUUUUCCUG